UUCCUUAGAAAGAUUGAAGUGUGGGAAUGAGAGCUCUUGGAAGUGAACAACCCUCAAUAAUGACAACAAAGAGUGUUGGUAGUGGAAGGUUUUACCAACCACCCGUCAAAUUCUGCUACGUAUAUAUGUGGUGACGAGUGUUUUGUGAGAUUAUAAGGAUUGAAAGCAAGGAUCGAAAGCAUACACAGUUUGUAGGGCUUGCCUCCACUGACACUUACCGACACGCCACGGACUGCACCGAC
rnacentral:lncRNA from 1 species